rnacentral:lncRNA from 1 species
UUUGUAUAAUUAAUAAUACAAAAUUUUAGUUUAUAAUAACAACAACAACUUGUAAAUUGUAAUAUUAUAAUAUAAGACACGAUUAUUUAUAGUACAAUCCAAUAUUACACCAAACACAACAUAGUACUAUAUGUAAUUCAAUAUUAUCUAAUCAAAUCUUAUCUUAUCCAAUUCGAUCCGAUCCAAUCCAAUCCAAUCCAGCAUACUAAACGAACCCUAAGGAAACUAUUUUAAUGGUAGCAUGGGGUAAGGACCCUUUAAUUUUAAAUCUCUUAAAAGUUGACUUAGUACAAGUUUUCCUUUCCCAUUUACACAACAAAAAACUGGAGCCAAAAAAAUUAAAAAACAUAACUUAUAUCCAAUUUUGUACUCAAAGCAAUAUUUUACAAUUAAAAGAAGACAAGAGAAUAGGAAAUU